ACACCUCAACCCUCAUGGUUUGCCAUGACGGGCUUGGACUUUGGGGGUCUUGCUGGCCUAUCACCGGCUCCUCUCAAAUGAAUCAGCUUGCCAGUGUUUGGUGGCGUCACGGGUGUGAUAACUAUCUACGCUCGUGGUCUCCCACCAGGUAACCUUCAGCAAUGGAGGUUCGCUGGAGCUCACAAACGUCUCUCCUCAGCGAAGACAGCUUUCUGAAC
rnacentral:misc_RNA from 1 species